rnacentral:rRNA from 1 species
CCUGGCUCAGGAAGAACGCUGGCGGCGUGCCUAAUACAUGCAAGUAGAACGCUGAAGGAAGGAGCUUGCUCUUUCCGGAUGUGUCGCGAACGGGUGAGUAACGCGUAGGUAAUCUGCCUGGUAGCGGGGGAUAACUAUUGGAAACGAUAGCUAAUACCGCAUAACUGUAGAUAUUGCAUGAUAUCUGCUUGAAAGGUGCAAUUUCACCACUACCAGAUGGACCUGCGUUGUAUUAGCUAGUUGGUGAGGUAACGGCUCACCAAGGCGACGAUACAUAGCCGACCUGAGAGGGUGAUCGGCCACACUGGGACUGAGACACGGCCCAGACUCCUACGG